rnacentral:lncRNA from 1 species
ACAUGUCAAUAUAACAUUGAAUCCAAAAUAUUUCAUCAAAACACAAAUAAAAAUGAUCCACCCAAUAUAAUUACAUCUAAACUUAAAAAAUAGUAUAGCAAAUGUGCUCUGUAUCUAUUAUUAUGUACCUAAAAAAUACAUCUUUCCAUCCUCGUGAAUUAGAUGUGAAGCUGAUCUUCACCAAAUUUGUGCUCCAUAUCAAAUAGUGCACGAGACAUUCAACCUGAGGCAAGGAAACCAAUGGACCAGCACAAUCAUGCCAUAGCUGAGAAUUUAUUGUCUUCCUUGUCGUCUAGCAAAUCAAGUUAAAAAAAAAGAAUGUAUUCAGAGAUCAACAAAAUUAUGAAUCAGGAACCAAAUAUAUAACUAACCAACAAAAAGGACAAGAGAAACACUACAUCAAUAUUAACUUAAAUCACAAACUCCAGCAACUCUUUGAAUUCAAAUCAUAAUUAACUAAAAUUAAUUCUCCCUGCUCAACAAUAGCAAAUGGAAGACAAGGAAUGAUACGACCAGUCCCGAAUCACCCUAGUGGACCUGAAACGUGACGUGCGCCGAUGAUAGAUGCUAACUAGAUGUCAAAUCUAUCACCAAGGCUAGCUAAGAGUUAUUUCAAAAAAAGGCAAUAAAAUCAAAUGCUUAUGUAAAACAUAAUUCGAUGGGCCAAAAUAUUUACUUCGUGCUUCAUCAAUAUGAGUUAUAAUAUUCAACAUGUCGUGUGACUCUUAUUCCGAAAUCAUUAGGCUCUUCCAACUAAAAAGGAUCAAUUUCCACCUAUAGGAAAAAUCGUGGGAAAAUACAUGAAUUGAUAACUCAGUGAGUGGAGAAGUUCGAAAAUAAUUAUACUUUUUCAUUUUUACAUUUUUAUCAAAAAUUGAGUUUAUAUCAUUGAUAACUCGCAAGAUAACAUAUAAUUAUAGCAAAAAAAGUGAAAUAUUUACAUAAGGUCAUAAGAUGUCAUCUUAAAAUCAUGAUAUAAACAUCAUCUGACAAGCACGCUAUAAUCUCAUCGCAUCAAACGUGCUGAAAAAUCCAUAAAAAAAUGUACUCUCUGACUGAAAUAUAUAAUUCGCCCCUCGGACUAAGAACUUUUGCCACAGGCCUUUGGCCCCUCUGUGAACGAAAAUCGGUCUCAAAGACCUCUCAUAAUCAAUUCUAGAAUACGGUCAAGGCCCCUCAGUGAACUAGAAGAAAUAUAGCGUUACGGGUACUUUUCUGGUCGAUCUCAAAAUCAUACCUCAUAUUCCAAUUCACAAUGUACUGUAUACAAUCUUUAAAAUUCACAUGUAUCAUAAUAAAAGAUAUUCCCAUAAUAACCAUAUAAUUCGAACACAUAAUUGCAUAUAAUUUCACAUAUUUUAACAAUAUAUUUAAUUUAUAAAUAUUUUAAAAAUAUUUAUAUUUUUCCACUCACAGUACUAUGUUUGCAAAAUCAACCCGAUUGGUAAGCUGUUCUGAUAUCAGUAUCGUCGCCUGGAAUACGAUAUAAUUUUUAAAUAAACAAUUAAUCAUUUUAAAUAAUUUCAAUAAUUAAAUAGGCGAUACCCAAACUUAAUCAUUUCAUGUUUGGGCGAUUUCUAUAGUUUCUUUAAUUACUAAAGCUAGUUUAUCUUUCAUCUUACUCAAUUUCAUAGUUUAUUACACUUAACCUCUUCAAUAAAAUUGAAUUUAAUCUAACAAUUUAACAACUAUAAAAUCAAACAUAACUUGAUAAUAAGUAACUUUUAUUUACCUUUCAAAAUUGAGGAAUUCAAGCCUAAUAAUGUAGACCACUUAUUUUCUAACAACAUAGGCGAACUUUCCUUUUUUUUUUUUCUUCCUCUUCUCCUUUUUUUUCUUUCUUUCUUUCUUUCUCUCCUCUUCCUUUUCUCUUUCUAAUGCGAAUCCCGUAGCAACGUUGACUACGAAACCCACAACGAGAUUGACGAAUCCAAGAAAGCCAAAUUAAUCCAAAGUUUAGGAUUAACCCAAAAGAAAGUCGAACAAAAAAACCCAACAAGAACAACGUUUGAAAGACCCUUCGAUCACGCAAUCCAAGAAUUAAAUCCGAUUGUUUGAACGCCACAAGUUAACACUUGAUAAGUUCGAAGUUGUUCAAUGAAGAACGAUGAAGAGAAGACAAUAUACCUCACUUUAAUUCAAUAUCAAUAAUGCCAAAAGGUUUUUAACAAUUGAAUGGAAACUUCUAUUUAUACUAAACCUAAAAACUAGGUAAAAAUUGUGCAAAAGUCAAGCAUAAUCUCCAAAAUAUGGAAAAGAAUCAAAAUCUAACAAAAUAUGGAAAAUUGCGAAAAUUGGAAGAUUCGCCAAAUUUUUUAGCUUGUGCGGCCGCAUGGUGUAUUUCCAUGCGAUCGUAUGGUUCAACAAAAAAUCCCAAUUUAAGUUUCGGUAUGCCACUGUGUGGCCGCAUGGUGUUUUUACUGUGCGGUCGGACAGGCUUAUUUUCAACCUUCGGUUUCAUCGCUUGAUAACAAAUUGAUCCAAGUUGAUUCGGCCUUCGACCCGAACAUGAAAGUUGCUCCAUUUUGAGUCCCGAACAUGGUUCCAUCAAUGGUUUCUUGAACGAGCAAUCCUAUCGCUUUUUUUACUUGCUUUGCCCUUGAUCGCGUCAUUGGUCCGCCAUCGACUAUCAACGGGUCUCGUCUCGCACUUGCCUUCGUCGGGCUCAACUCCUGGAUCAUAUCAUCCCCUCCCUCUUCAAAAGAAUUCUUCCUCGAAUCUGAACCUGCAUCAAACAGAGAGAGAUCAGAUACAUUAAAACUAGCCGAAACAUUGUACUCACCUGGAAGGUCCAACUUGUAAGCAUUGUCGUUUAUUUUUUCGAUCACUUGGAAUGGACCAUCACCCUUCGGUUGCAACUUGGACUUCCUUUGCUCCGGAAAUCGCUCUUUUCUAAGGUGCACCCAAACCCAAUCUCUUGGCUCGAAUGUCACGCGCUUUCUACCUUUGUUCGCUUGCGACGCAACCAACUUACUUUUGUUUUCAAUUUGCGCUUUUACCUUUUCAUGGAGUGACUUAAUCAAUUCAGCCUUCUUUUUGUCAUCUAAACUACCACGUUCAUUCACAGGUAAAGGAAUUAAAUCCAAAGGAGUUAGUGGAUUAAACCCAUAUACAAUUUCAAAUGGAGAAUAUGACGUAGUAGAGUGAACAGCUCGAUUGUAUGCAAAUUCAACAAAUGGUAGACACUCCUCCCAACUCUUCAAAUUUUUAUUGAUUACUGUUCGUAACAAUUGUGUCAGAGUCCUAUUCACUACCUCGGUUUGCCCAUCCGUUUGUGGGUGACAAGUUAUGGAAAAUAGUAAUUUAGUGCCUAACUUACCCCACAAAACUCUCCAAAAGUGACUCAAAAAUUUGACAUCCCGAUCCGACACUAUGCUUCUAGGAACCCCAUGUAAACGCACAAUCUCUUUAAAGAAUAAGUCAGCAAUGUUCGUGGCAUCGUCAGUUUUGUGACAUGGUAUAAAAUGUGCCAUUUUGCUAAACCUAUCUACAACCACAAAAAUAGAAUCCCGACCUCUCUUAGUCCUAGGUAAAUCCAAAAUAAAGUCCAUUGAGAUACCAACCCAACGCUCACUAGGUGUAGGUAAAUGUGUGUACAAACCUUGUGGUAAAACCUUAGAUUUGGCCUUUUUACAACUUAUGCAUCGACUACAAAUUCGCUCAACAUCACUUUUCAUCUUAGGCCAAUAAAAAUGCUCCUUUAAUACAUCUAAAGUCUUUUGAACCCCAAAGUGUACCAUCAAUCCACCACUAUGUGCCUCCCUUACUAACAAUUUUCGAAUAAAACAAUUAGGAACACAUAACCUAUUUUCCCGAAAUAAAUACCCCUCAUGCCUAAAGAAUCUAUCAACCGUCCCCUUAAUGCAUGACAAAUAAAUAUCCGAAAAAUCAACAUCUUUUUCAUAUAAUUCCUUAAUAUGUUCAAACCCAAGUAACUUAGAAUAAAGAGUAGUUAGCAAUGCGUACCUUCGAGACAACGCAUCCGCCACCACAUUUUCCUUACCUUGUUUAUACCGAAUGACGUAUGAAAAGGUCUCAAUGAAUUCCAUCCACCUUGCAUGCCUCUUGUUCAAUUUACCUUGUCCCCGCAAGUGUUUUAAUGACUCAUGAUCGGUGUGUAUUAUGAACUCCUUCGGCCAUAGAUGAUGUUGCCAAGUCUCCAAAGCUCGAACAAGUGCAUAAAGCUCUUUGUCAUAUGUAGGAUAAUUUAAAGCAGCUCCACUCAAUUUCUCGCUAAAGUAUGCAAUAGGCCUCUGAUCCUGCAUUAAAACUACUCCAAUCCCUAUUCCUGAUGCAUCACACUCAAUCUCGAAUAUUUUAUCAAAGUUAGGUAAUGCCAAAACAGGUGCUUCACACAAUCUACCUUUAAUAGUAUUAAAUGCAAGUUCCUGUUCAUCACCUCAAUGAAAACCUACACUCUUUUUAACUACUUCCAUGAGUGGUGCAGUGAUAGUGCUAAAAUCCUUCACAAAUCACCUAUAAAAACUAGCCAAACCAUGAAAACUCCUAACUUUCGUUAUGCUUUUAGGUGUCAGCCAAUCUCUAAUAGCUUUUAUCUUUUCAUCGUCUACUUCUAGCCCAUUAGCACUAACCACAAAUCCAAGAAAUAUAACUCUAUCCAUACAAAAUGUGCAUUUCUUAAGAUUAGCAAAGAGUUGUUCUUUCCUUAAAACAAUUAGCACACAUUUUAAAUGUUCCAAAUGCUCUCCUAGGUUUUUGCUAUAGAUUAAAAUGCGUCAAAAUAAACCACAACAAAUUUUUCUAUAAAACCAUGUAAAACAUGAUUCAUUAAACGCAUAAAAGUGCUAGGUGCAUUUGUGAGUCCAAACGGCAUAACCAACCAUUCAUAUAAACCAUAUUUAGUUUUAAAAGCCGUUUUCCAUUCAUCACCCUCCCGCAUACGAAUUUGAUGAUACCUGCUUUUUAAAUCAAUUGUAGAAAAUAUGUAAGAACCAUGUAAUUCAUCAAGCAUGUCAUCUAACCUAGGUAUAGGGUGACGAUACUUUACCGUUAUGUUGUUGAUAGCCCUACAAUCCACGCACAUUCGCCAUGUUCCAUCCUUUUUUGGUACAGGCAAAACCGGUACCGCACAAGGACUCAUGCUUUCCCUCACGUAUCCUUUACUCAUCAACUCCUCCACUUGACUUUGAAACUCCUUAGUCUCCUUGGGAUUACUUCGAUAAGCCGGUCGAUUUGGAAUGACAGCUCCGGGUAUGAAGUCAAUUUGAUGUUCAAUGCUUCGAAUAGGUGGCAAUCCACUUGGUGCAUCCUUCGAAAAUACAUCGUCGAAUUCCUGCAACAAAGAUUUAGCCAAACUAGAGAGGGGUGGGUUAGUUUCCUCAAAAUUGAGGAGUGAUUCCUUAUAAACGAACAAGAUCAUCUCUCUUCUCUCAACUACCGCCCUCCUCAGAUCACUCUCUUUUGCAAAGAAAUUCACUCGUGUUUUCUCUCUUCUCUCGGGACACUCUCUUUCUUUUCUCUCUUGUGAUUGCUCUCUCUUUUUCUCUCUAAUGACUAUCUCAACAUUUUCUCUCUUUUUCUCCAACUCACUAUUUGCUCUCAUUUUUUCUAACUCUUUUGCUCUCCUCUCUUCCUCACUUCUCAAUUUUAAUUGGUCUUCAUAGACUUGCGCCGGUGUUAAUGGCACAAAAGUAAUGGUCCUUCCAUCCUUAAUGAAAUUAUAUCGAUUUUUGUACCCAUCAUGCAUAGCCUUCCUAUCGUAUUGCCAUGGUCGCCCCAAUAAAAUAUGUCCCGCUUGCAUUGGCACCACAUCACACACUAACUCAUCCUUAUAACUCCCAAUUGACAAAUUAAUUAACACUCUUCGAUUCACCCUCACCUCGCCACUCUCAUUUAACCAUUGCAAUUUAUAAGGUCUCGGGUGUCUCAACAAUGUUAAACCCAAUUUUUCUACAAGAGAUACGCUAGCUACAUUAGUGCAACUACCACCAUCAAUUAUAACACUACAUACCGUAUUGUUGACGUGGCAUUGAGUGUGGAAAAUGUUCUCCUGUUGCAACUCCAAGUCACUUGCUUUGACGUGAGUAGUGAGAGCUUGCCUUGUGACUAAUAGAUCCCCAACCGGCCCUUCAACUUUUUCUUCUUCACUAACACCCUCCAACGUCGGCAUGUCAUCAAACUCGCCAUCACUAUCGCUCACAAUCUCUCCAUUAUCCCGCAACACCAUCGCCCAUUUGUUUGGGCAUUGAGAAGCAAUAUGCCCCGUUCCCAAACACCUAAAACAUUUGAUGUCCUGAUUGCGCGACGGUUGUGCCUCCGGUUUUGAUAUUAGUUUGCUAGCAUUUUCAUCCUUGCCCUUUUGCCAAUCAUUUUUACCUCUAGGUGCAGCCCCAUUUUUGUUUGUUGUCAUCCCACUUCGAUUUCAAUUUUGGAUUAGGAGUCAAAGUGCCUAAUGGUUGCCUAGACGUCCCCUUCCUCUUUAAUUGCCUCUCGACCUUCAUUGCCACAUGUAACAUUUCCUCGAUUUCCACAUAAUGUUGCAACUCUACAAUGUUUGCAAUAUCCCGAUUUAACCCAUUCAAGAACCGUGUCAUGGUAGCUUCUCGAUCUUCCUCCACAUUAGCCCGAAUCAUAAGAAUUUUCAUCUUCUUGUGAUAAUCCUCUACGCUUUUCGAUCCUUGAUACAAACCUUGCAAUUUUUAAUGGAUUUCCCUAUAAUAGUGACUCGGAACAAACCUCCUCUUCAUCAACAUCUUCAACUUAUCCCAAGUGCUAACUGGCCUUUCCCGACCCCUACGCCGUGAUGUAAGUACUUGAUCCCACCAAGAUAUCACGUAAUCCACAAAUUCAUGCACCACCAAUUUUACCUUUUUCUCCUCCGAAUAAUUAUAGCACUCAAAAAUCAUCUCAACCUUCCUUUCUCACUCUAAAUAUGCUUCCAGAUCGCUUCUCCCCUUAAACUACGGAAUAGUCAUUUUAAUACUCCCCAAAUUUCCAUCUACUUCAUCUCCCUAGUUAUUCCUACCUCGUCUUUCCAUCCUAUCGCCCCUAUGCCUUGCUCGACCCAUAUCAAUGUCAUUUUCAUCAAAAUUAUCCUCAUCACUACGAUACUCAUCCCACCUUCCUCUCCUAGAUUCACGCCUACCCGACCCCCUAGCAUUAGACAUCUCCACUUGUCCCCGGCUAAAAUUAGCAAUUGUAGUACCCAUUUGUGUCAUCCAUUCCCCUUGCCUAUCCACCUUCUCUCUAACAUCACAAAGUACCCUUUCAAACCUCCUUAUCAUGUCCUCCGAUGGAUUGUUGUCAUUACCAUUUCGGCUUGAAUUAGAAUCUUCUCUUUUCGACAUCAUAUCACACAAUUUUCUUAUGCCUCACAAAGAUUUCACUCGGAAAACACUCACUAUGGCUUUUCCCUCUAUUAAACUCACCACUCGGCCUUUUACCACUCAAAGUCUCCCUCCAAGCACUUCAAAGAACCAAGUGAACUAAAUCAAUUGUUUUACCGGCAAUUCAAACAAAUCGAAUAUUAAUCAAAGACCAUGAGACUCAAAGGAUUUGAAUAAGUGGAAUAGAUGAAUGUUUUGACACGAAUAUGUGAAUAGACUCAAAAGAAGAAUGAAAGACUCGAACCCAAUUGAAUAUCCCAAAAAAUCAAACACAAUGUAGGAAUUGUUGUUGGUAGAAAAAAACAUAAAAUCAAACAAUGAUAUCAAUUUUUUUUUAUGUAUAUAUAUAUUUUGUUUUUGUGAACAAUACUUCGAGAUGAACAGUACCUCGAAUGUACAGUAACCUUUUCUUUUUUUUUUUUCAUUUUUGCACUUUUUAUUUUUACUCCUUGAUGAAAGAAGGUGAGUAAACUACCAAAACUCAACAAAACGACGAAAAGAAAACAAGAAUGAAGAAAAACUAAGAAAGAACAAUUAACGACCCAAACAAAUAAAGAAAAGAUAUAACCUUCAAUUGAUUUGGAGCUAGAGCUCUGAUACCAACUAAUGCGAACCCCGUAGAAACGUUGACUACGAAACCCACAACGAGAUUGACGAACCCAAGAAAGUCAAAUUAAUCCAAAGUUUAGGAUUAACCCAAAAGAAAGUCAAACCAAAAAAUCCAACAAAAACGAUGCUUGAAAGACCCCUUGAUCAUGCAAUCCAAGAAUUAAAUCCGGUUGUUUGAACGCCACAAGUUAACACUUGAUAAGUUCGAAAUUGUUCAAUAAAGAACGAUGAAGAGAAGAUAAUACGCCUCACUUUAAUUCAAUAUCAAUAAUGUCAAAAGGGUUUUAAUAAUUGAAUGGAAACUCCUAUUUAUACUAAACCUAAAAACUAGGUACAAAUCGUGCAAAAGUCGAGCAUAAUCUCCAAAAUAUGGAAAAGAAUCAAAAUCUAACAAAAUAUGAAAAAUUGCCAAAAUUGAAAAAUUCGCCAAAUUUUUUGGCUUGUGCGGCCGCAUGGUGUAUUUCCAUGUGGUCGCAUGAUUCAACAAAAAAUCCCAAUUUAAGUUUUGGUAUGCCACUGUGCGGCCACAUGGUGUUUUUGCUGUGCGGUCGCACAGGCUUAUUUUCAGCCUCCGAUUUCGUCGCUUGAUAACAAAUUGAUUCAAGUUGAUUCGGUUUUCGACCCGAACAUGAAAGUUGCUCCAUUUUGAGUCCCGAACAUGAUUCCAUCAAUGGUUUCUUGAACAAGCAAUCCCAUCGUUUGUUUCACUUGCUUUGCCCUUGAUCGCGUCAUUGGUCCGCCAUCGACUAUCAACGGAUCUCGUCUCGCACUUGCCUUCGUCGGGCUCGACUCCUGGAUCAUAUCAUCUCUCCAUUCUUGGCUUCUCUCACCUGUGUAUUAUGAAAAUGGGUUUGGAUUUAUAUGGAAUCCAAUUCCACCGCCUAACCUUUUAUAUAUAUAUUGUUAUUUUGUUAUUUUUUUGUCUUCUUCUUCUUCUUCUUCUUCUUCUUCUCUCUCUCUCUCUCUCUCUCUUAAAAGUAUGGCAUGAUAUGUUUGACUCUCUUUUGUAUAUAUACAUAUUUUAUUUUUAAGGUAUUACAAAACUCACCUCCUUCAAAGAAUUUCGUCCUCGAAAUUCAGUUGGCUAAGAUUUGCACAUAUAAAUAUGUAGAGAACACAUUUGAUUAUCACUUGCCAUAAUGCAUCUUCUAUUGAAUGAAAUCCCACGAACUUUUAGUCCCAAAAUUUAAUCUUUCCUAUCAUACUUUUAAUAACUUCCUACGAGCCAAUAUAUGAUAUUUUCAUCCUUAUUAUUAUUAUUUUUUCCCAAAACCUUAAGAAAACUCAAUUAUUUUCCCAAUUGGAAGUUCAAAAUACUACUUUUCAUGUUCUCCAAAUCUUCACCUUACGUCCUAAUUUAAACUAUUCUCUAAUCACAUUCUUUUUCUAUAACAAUGGUAACAUAUUAAGAUCGAACAACAAUCUUUCACCCAUUUCGUCGUACGUCCUUGGAAUAUCUCAAUAUUAUAUAUAACCUCAAUUAUCGUCACUUGUGUCUAGUUUUUAUAUGUCAAUUCCAUGAAAAUAAAUAAUUAUCCAAGUCUCCUUUAAUUAACCAACCAUAGUUGAUAGCCUCUCUUUUGAACUUGUCUUCAUAGUGUCUAACAUUCUAUCAAAAGAAGAUGCACAAUGUAAUUUUAUUAUAUAACUUCUUACAACUAACCAAAGAUAAAUACUUCAAUUCUACCGUGUAAUUAACAAUAUUGUCUAUAUAUAAUUUCAUAAGUCUAUCCUAUUAACUGACUAUAUCAGUCAAAAAUAAUCUCGUAACCUUAAUCAAUAUAUCCACAAUGAUUUAAAUACUAUUUUGCCUCCAUUCCGUGUAUUUGGAAUCCCCAAACAAAAAUAUUUGAGGGUAACUGCCUCCAUUCUAAAUUGACGAUAUCUCCAAAAAUUCAAUUGUUCACGAUUUUCUAAAAUUCUAGUUAUCCCCAAUAAAACAAUUGAGAAAGCUCAAUAUGAUAUUCUUUUCCUUAAAUUCUACAAUUUCCAUUUCCACCAUCUCUAAUAAAAUAUACGUUAAAACUCUAAUGAUUGAUAAUUAUUGAUAUUUCUCGCAAUGUGAUGACACAAUCCCAAUAAAACCAACUCCAAAUCAUGUUUUAAUUAUGCAUCUUCAACAAUCUAUCAUAUAAUUCAUAAUUUAUCAUUUUAUUUCAGAAUACUUUCGAAACUUAUCAUAAUCCAUUAUCAGAAAUCAUUAUCGUGAAUCAAUCACUCAUCAUCUUUAAAUAUAAGAGCAAAUAUUUCCUCAGAAUUUCCUAAUCGCAAAACUUUUGACAUUUCUAUACCCAUACAAAUUUUGUUCUUUCUUUCUAUAAAGAAACAAUAAUAACAUUUAAUCCAUGAAAAUCUAUACUCUUAUUCCAUAAAUGGAUCGUUGGUCUACCAUCAAUGCAUAAUCCUUCUUGUAUAUUGCAUAAAGACAUUUAAUUGGGGUAAUGUAACCUAAAGAUACUGUCCCACAAUUGAAUAAAAUUACAUUCAAUGAUCACCCUAAAUUUCAAACUAUUCGACAUAUCGUCCAUAUAUUCCAUCGCAAACAGAUCUCAAUAAACAUGGAAUACUUUAUACCUGAAGUCCAAAAUACAAUCGAAAAUCACCCAAAAAUUACAUCACUAAAAAUUUAUUAAAUUCAUUUUAACUUCAAAAUUUAACUCAACGCUUCCAAAUUUUAUGAAAUAUAACACAAUACUCCAACAAAUGGUCUAAAAAAAAUUAAUUAACUUAAUCACCCAAAUCUUUCAUCACAUUAUUUUGCUAUAGGGCAGUAUUUACAUUCAUUUACAUGCUAUUUACCAUGUCAUGUUGUAAUCAUGUAACAUCAUCACAUACUUAUGGCCAUACCAUAUGUCUUCCAACUUUUAGUUAUAUGAAUUUUUCCUUAAGAUCACAAAAUAAUAACCUUCAUAUUUAACAUGUGAACACAUCAAUAUAUCAUCAAGAUUUCACAUGUUAAUUUUCCAAACUCAAUAAAUUCAAGUUUUACCAUUCUCUAUUUUUUUUUCUUCCACAUAAACAUACCUAAAUGCAUAUAUUUAUUUAAUUCUAUUUUAGUGCAACAAAUCACCCCAUAAUAGGUAAUCAUUAUGAAGUUCAACCCUAUUAUUCUCACAUUCCAUGUAUUCAAACAACUCAUAAAUAAUCCAAAUAAUUGGAAUUACUAUUAAUUUUCUCGAUGCCUAAAGUACACAAUAACACAUUGUUAUCUAUCAAUCAACGAAUCAUCAUUUUGUCUUCCACAGUCUCUUAUCAUAUAGCAUAAAUUUACACCAUUAUGAUUUCUAUUAUCAUCCCAUAUAAGUGGUCACAAAUCACCACAAAAUUUUGAUAACACUAAUAACCAUUUGGCUCCAAAAUAAUUAAAAUUUCAUGCUGAUUGUAAAAUCUAUAACUUCGAAUGCCCAGGAAAAUCAUCAAAAUCUGUUCAAAUCUUACUAUGUUACAUACACACAUAGUUCCAACCCAACAACUAAUAACAUUUCCAACCAUAAUAUCAUUGCAACUACCAUACUUACAUAUUAGUCUUUCCUGGAUCUGUUAAAAAUCUUUAUACCAUUUUUGGUUCUACGCAUUUGAGCUAGAGAGCCUGUGAUUUUUGCCACCACGACGUGUGAUCAUAUCUACUAAACAUGCAUGAAUCAUAAAAAUUUUCGAAACUAUGCUCUGACACCAUUUUGACAUGACCCAUCUUGAAUCACCCUAGUGGACCCGAAAUGUGAUGUGCGUCGAUAAUAGAUGCUGACUAGAUGUCAAAUCUAUCACCAAGGCAAACUAAGAGUUAUUUAAAAAAAAUGGAAUAAAAUCAAAUGCUUAUGUAAAACAUAAUGCGAUGGGCCCAAAAUAUUUACUUGGUGCUUCAUCAAUAUGAGUUAUAAUGUUCAACAUGUCGUGUGGCUCUUAUUACGAAAUCAUUAGGCCUUUCCAGUUAAAAAGGAUCAAUUUCCACCUUUAGGAAAAAUCGUGGGAAAAUAUAUGAGUUGAUAGCUCAGUGAGUGGAGAAGUUCGAAAAUAAUUAUACUUUUCCAUUUUUACCAAAAAUCGAGUUAAUAUCAUUGAUAACUCGCAAGAUAAUAUCAUAUAAUUAUAGUAAGAAAGUGAAAUAUUCACAUAAGGUCAUAAGAUGUCAUCUUAAAAUCAUGAUAUAACAGAUAACCAUGCUAUAAUCUCAUCACAUCAAACGUGCUGAAAAAUCUAUCAAAAAUGUACACUCUGACUGAAAUAUAUAAUCCGCCAAUCGGAUUAAGAACUUUCGCCACGGGCCUUUGGCCCCAUCGUGAACGAAAGUCGGUUUCAAAGACCUCUUAUAAUCAAUUCUAGAACACGGUCAAAACCCCUCAAUGAACUAUAUGUAUACGGUCAAGACCUCUUCAUCCCCGGUCAAAGAUCCCUCAAUGUAGUAUAGAACACGGCCAAUAUCCCUCACUGAGCUAGAAGAAAUAUAUCAUCACAGAUACUUUUCUGGUUGAUCUCAAAAUCAUACCUCAUAUUCCAAUUCACAAUGUACCAUAUACAAUUUUUAAAAUCCACAUGUAUUAUAAUAAAAGAUAUUUCCAUAAUAACCAUAUAAUUCGAACACAUAAUUGCACAUACUUUAACAAUAUACUUAAUUUAUAAAUGCUUUAAAAAUAUUUAUAUUUUUACACUCACAGUACUAUGUUCGCAAAAUCAACCCGGUUGGUAAGCUAUUCUGAUAUCAGUAUCAUCGUCCGAAAUACGAUAUAACUUUUAAAUAAACAAUUAAUUAUUUUAAAUAAUUUCAAUAAUUAAAUAGGCGAUACCCAAACUUAAUCAUUUCACGUUUGAGCGAUUUCUACAUUCUCUUUAAUCACUAAAACUAGUUUUUCUUUCAUCUUACUCAAUUUCAUAGUUUAUUACACUUAACACCUUCAAUAAAAUUGAAUUUAAUCUAACAAUCUAACAACUAUAAAAUCAAAUAUAACUUAAUAAUAAGUAACUUUUAUUUACCUUUCAAAAUUGAGGAAUUCAAGCCUAAUAAUGUAGAGCACUUAUUUUCUAACAACAUAGGUGAACUUUCCCUUUUUUUUUUCUUCCUCUUUUCCAUUUUUCUUUCUUUCUUUCUUUUUCUCCUCUUCCUUUUCUCUUUCUCUCUAUUCUUGGCUUCUCUCACCUGUGUAUUCUGAAAAUGUGUUUGGAUUUGUUCAAUCCAAUUCCACUGCCUAACCAGUAGACAAAUUGAGAGAAUAAUUUAUUUUGUAGGGAUUAAAUUGCCUUUGCAUUAGAAUGGAAAAUGCAAUAUUAUGUCCACUUAUUGCAAUGUUUGAAAAGGACGUUAGCAUUUAUUUUUACAGCUCAUAUUAUACAUAUUGACAACCAAUUUUGAAGUUGUUGUUCGAUUUUUGCAUUUUGAAAUUCAUUUGAAGUAAAAUCAUUUGAUGCAGAUGCAGAUGAGUUAUCAACUUCUUCUUCAUUUUGAAAGACAUUUGAUCUAUUUUCAUUUUGAUUUUGUGAUCUAUUUCUAGACCUAGAUCUCCUAAGCCAAUUUGAAACCGAAGACAUAAUUGAAAAAAUGAAAUCAAAAUAAUUUCACAUAAUAAAAACAGUAAAAUAGGAUAAACUAGGUUCUUACCAAGCCUACAAACAGGACCACCAACACGGCUGACCAACGUCUACAGGGCUGACCAACGUCUAUUCAGCAGACAUCCAGGUUUAAACCAAACUUAUCUAUUUUGAACAGUGCCUAUCGUGUAAGAUUAAACUAAUCUCACUCGUUCACUUAUGGCUCUGAUACCAUAAAAGACCCAGGGAAACAGGAGAUGAAAUAGAAGAACAGAAAUUUGUGAAAAUAGAGAAUUUUAUUGAAAUUGAAGAAGAUAAGAGUAUUACGAUGAAAAUUGAAAAAUAUUUGAGAGAAGCAAAUUACAAGGAAAAUAAAACUUCUUCCUGCUGAAUUAGCUCUGCCUUGAAAAUGAAAUCUUGAGGUCUUCUUAUAGUCUGGACUUGAAAUUUCUUUCAUUUGAGAGAAAGAAUCUUGAAAAGAGAGGUGGGCGACACCAUAAUGAAACAUCUUGAAAAGCAGUAUCAACUUUAGUCAAAAGUUUCCAAUUUUUGACUUCCUUUAAUAAAGAUAAUCUUUUUCUUUAUUAAAGUAAGAGUUGAUGUCUGACACAAAGUUGAUGGGAAUCUUGACAAUCAAAACACCACCGUUUUUGAAUUGGACAGAGAUUAAGUAAGAUUUCCCUUGAUUUGUAGACCCUUGAAUUUCUCAGUUCGUCCAGGAAACUGGGUCCAUUUAGUCAUUUUAUAGUUUUCUUUGAAGCUUUUGCAGCUUUCUCUUGAGCAAGGUACUCAGCAUAGUCAUUACCUAGAUCAACUAAGUCAUUACCAUUAUCAGUCUUUUGCGAAAAUUGAGAUUCUUCGUCUUGAUCUUCUUCGAAAACUUUUGAAGAUCCUUGCUUAGAAAUUUGUUCAUAAAGUUCUAGUAAUUCUUUAGGAUCUUUACACUUUGAUAGCAUUGAAAUGAUUUUUUGUUUUUCUGUCAAAAAAUCAGCUUGUUCAUCUUGUUCCUUUUUUGAGAAUUUAGGUACACCUAAAUUUCUUUGUUCUUGAAUCCAUGAUUGAACUGAUUUUGGACAACAGUUUGUUUCUUUGAACUUUGCCCACCAUUUGAUUUUGAACCUUCUUGUAAUUUGUUGACAAGAGUAGUCAUCCUUGAAAUUUUGAUAUUGAAAGAAAUCCCAACAAAAGAUCCAGGAUACUUUCAAAUUGAAGGCGAACUGAAACAAAAGGUUUUCUUGAAGCUUCAGAAAAGGUUUUGCUUCUUUUUAAAAUAUUCAUAUUCUUGAAGAGCAAGACUGGGUAAAAUUGCCUCUUCAAAUCCAUGAUACUGAAACCAUGUUUGAAACCAACUCGGGAAAUGAGGGUUACAAUUUUGAUUAAAAAUAAUGAACCAAGAAUGGAUAACAGGUCUAAAAAGAAGGACCUUAUAACAAGCAUUCUGAUAAUCAAAGUAAUUGAAAGUUUCUUAACAAGUAAAAUCAGUUUUUGAGAGACGAAGUCUCUUUUCUUCCCAAGGAUUCUGUCCCCAGUCUUUAUAAGACAGAACUCUUGUAAUUGAGAUUUUUGAAAACAUAAUUUUUAAUUUGUCUCUUGGUUCAGGAGUAUGAGAAAUUAUUGCAGAACCAGUCAAAAGAAGAAUGGUUUCAUAAUAAUCUCUGGUUUUUUUGGAUAUUUGAGGGCAUGAACCAAAAGUUUUGAGGGAGGAUACUAUCAAUGCAAUCAUCAAGACCUUGAUAUCUAUUGAGCUAAGAAUUUUCCAUUGUAAGAACAGUAUCUUGAAUAUUCUUGGUAAAAUAUUUGAAAGAAUUUGGAGGGUUAAUUUGAGGAAGUUUGCCAGAACUUUGAACGGUUUUUUUGAAGUUUGAAGGAGUUGAAGACUCAGCCUUUUGCUUGAGUUUAUUUUGAUCGGGUUUUUUGAUAAAGGUUGAAAGGGUGUUUGAGAAAGAUGAAGCUUCCUUUUGAUCCUUUGGGGGAUCUUCGAAGAAAGGUAUUGAACUUUUCUUCUUUCUUGAAGUUUUUAUUUGAAAGGGAUUUUGAGAAUCCUCUUCUUCUUCGACUUUCUUAGCCCAACUCAUUCUCACUCUUUUGAAUAAACUCUCUUGUAAGGAAAUUUGCCAAGAAGUCUGUUUUUCCUUGAAUAUAUAGAAUUUCGAAAUCAAAACAGGACAAAAUUGCCUGCCACCUUGCAAAGAUUUGUUUGGAAACGAGAUUUUUUACAUUCUUUUGUAAGACAUCUUUUGAAGCUUUGCAAUCGGUUUUUAAAAUAAAUUUUUUAUUAAUUAAAUCAUCUUGAAAUUUUGAGAUACAAAGAACUAUUGAAAGAAUCUCUUUUUUGAUAGUAGAAUAAUUCUUUUGAGGACCAGACCAAACUCCACUAUGAAAUCUAACUAACUAUUCUUUUGACGAUUCUAGGGGUAAUUGCUUUAACACACCACCGAAUCCUAUGUUUGAGGCGUCUGUCUCGACAAUAAUUGAGGCUGUAGGGUCAAGAAUUGACAGACAAGGAAUAUUUUUUACUAACUUUUUCACCUUUUGAACCGCAUGCGUACACUCAUGACUCCAUGGGUCAGGGUUGUUUUGUCGUCUUUUGAAUAAUGGGGCACAAAUUUGACGUAUAUCUUUGAUAAAAUCGGCCACAUAAUUAACACAACCAAGAAAGCGUUGCAAACUUGUCUUAUCUUUGAUUUCAUCUGAAAAUUUGUCGGUGAAAUCAAGACUUCUUUGAAUAGGUAAAAUUGAAGAAUUUUGAAUAAUAUGGCCAAGAAAACGAAUUUUUGUUUGAAAUAAAACAAUCUUUUUAGCAGAAACUGCUAAACCAUUUUUCUUGAUUACAUGUAUGAAUGUAUGAAUGUGCUUAAAAUGUUGUUCAAUGUUUUUUUGAAAAGAUGAGGACAUCAUCAAUGUAAACAAUAAUGAAAUCUUGAAAUGGAUUGAAAAUAUCAUUCAUAAUUUUUUGAAAUUCAGAAGGGACGUUUUUGAGACCGAAAGGCAUAACAUUCCAUUCGUAUUGUCCGAAAGGAACAUUAAAUGCAGUCUUGUAUCUAUCUUCUUCUUUAAUUUGAACUUGCCAAAAUCCUGAUUUCAUGUCAAAUUUUGAGAAGAUGAUAGCUUUUGAAAGAUGAUUCAGAAGAUCUUUCUUCUGAGGAAUUGGAUAUCUAAUUCAUUGAAGAGCAGUAUUGAGAGGUUUAUAAUUGAUAACCAGGCGAGGAACUCCUCGCUCGAUUUCUGCAGAGUUAUUAACAUAAAAUGCCGAACAAUUCCAAGGGGAUUUGCUUGGACGGAUAAGGUUUUUCUCAAGGAGAUCAUUAAUUUCCUUGAUACAGAAAUCAAGUAAUUCUUUUUUCAUUUGAAUAGGACGAGACUUUGCAGGAAUGUUUGAUUCAUGAAAAUCAGAAUUGUAAGGAAGGGAAACAAUAUGUUUUUUCCUAUCCCAAAAAGCAUUUGGAAUUGUUGAACAGAUUUCUUGUUCAAUUUUCUUUUGUAAAUUUAAAAUUUGACUUUUGAUAGACGAAUCUUCUUCUAAUCUUUUCUCAGUUUUUUGAAAGGAAAUUUCUUCUUUGAGAAAUUGAACAUGAUUUUUCUUUAAAUUGAUGUUAUGAAUAAUUUUUGAAAUUGCAGCUUCUUUUAAAGAAUUAACAUCUUUAUAAGAAGGAGGAUUUGAAAAUUCGAAAUGAAUUUUUUUUUCAAAAAUUUUUGUAGUUAAUCCUUCGUAAUCAGCUUUAAAAGGAUAAAUUUGAACGAUAAAAGGAGUACCAAGAAUAACAUCUUGAUCCAGAUCUUUGACUAAGUAAAAGACAUUUUUGAAACAAAUGUUUGAGUUACAGACAUGGGCUUUUGAAAUUUUGUAAUUAAUAUUCAGUUUUUUACCAUUAGCACCAUAAAGGUGUUUAGUAGUUUUCUCAAAAUAUUUUGUAGGAAUAAGUCCUUCUUUGAUACAAUUUUGAUCGGCACCUGAAUCAAUCAAAACACGAGUUGAAAAUUUAAAUUCUUUAUUGACUACAAUAGUCAUAUUGCAGUACCAUUUCUGAAGUUGAAUUCGAUUAAUAACAUUAAUCUUUUCUUCUUCAGUUUGAGGAAAUUUUGAAGUAGAUGAAAAUUCAGACGAAGAUGAUUUAGAAUGAUAGGACUGAGUUUUUGAAGAAACUUUGGAUUUCCCAUUGUUUUGAGAAUAAUAUUCGUUGGUUAAGUCUUUUGCUUUAAGGCAGACUACUUCCAUACGAAUAUCUUAAACAUGUUUUUCAAGCUUUGAGAUUUGACUUUUCAUUUCCUUGACUUCUCCUUGAAGAUCAGGAAUUGAGGGUUUAGAACCUUUAGAUAGUUCCUUUUGAGCACGUCGAAGAAUAUUUGUAAUAUUGAUGUCAUCAAAAUUUUCUUUUGAUGUGGAAGAUGAAAGAAGGGAUGAAAACUUAUUUUUGAGUUUAGGAUUAUCAAUCCCAUCAAUGAUGUUUUGAAUGAUUUCUUCUUCUCCUGUUAAGACAUUUAUAAUUUUACAACCACAAAUUUCUUUAUUAUUUGAAGAAGUGCAAGAAUUAGAAUUUUGAGUAGAUUCGUAAUCAGAAUCUUCUUGAUUUGGAAAAACUUGUUCUAGUUCAGAGUUAGACUCAUUAUCAGAACUAGAUUGAAUUAGGUUGAGAAGUUGAGUUUUAGUAUCUUAAUCAACUUGAAGAGUACUAAUUUUUUCUCUAAGAGGACAUUUAUUGGAAUAAUGACCAGUUUUAUUGCAUUUCCAACAAGUAACUUUUGAAUCUUUUUUUUUGAAAAUUUUCUUUUUGGGAAUUGUUUUCUUUUUGUAAAAAUUUUCUUCAGAAAAUUGUUUUCUUUUUGAAAAUCUUUUCUUUUGAAAGAAUUUUUUCGAUUUUGAAGAAGGAGGUAAGACUUUCUCAAAUCCAUAUUGUUCACAGAAUGAUCCUAACUCAUUCCGAGUUUGAGAUUUUUCUGCUUUCAAUUUAGCUUUGAGUUUGAAGUCAAUACAUAGAUUGAUAGCUUCCUUAUUAAUGAAAUUUAUAAUUUCACCAUAAGUAAGCGUUUGAAGAUCAUCAUGUUCUUUAAAAAUUGAAUUUUUUACUUUCUCAGCAAAAAGUUUUGGAAGUCCAGAAAUGAAUUUUUCUUUCCAAAAAGAUUGUUGACAAUCAGAUCUUUGCAUGAUACGAGAUAGGAACAUAUCCUUGUACCAUCUAAAAUCUUGAAGUUUUGGACAUCUUAGAUUAAUAAGAAUGUCAUUUUGAAGUUGCAUAAGAUUUUCAGGAGUACCUAUAAAAUGUUUGAUGAUAGUUAGACCAAGAACAGAGUAACUAUCAUUAAUGGGUUCUCCAUUAUCAUUUGUAAUAAUACUAUUGUCUUCAUCACGUUUAACAGCAGAAAAGAUAAUAUUCUUUUCAGUAUUUGAAAGAUAAUUAUCCCACCAUUGACCAAGCUGUCCUGUGAAUCUGAGAACAAUAUUAUUUGUGGCUUGAAGCCUUGAGGCGCCUUUUGCCAAAAAGGUUUUAUAGCAAAUGGUCAUUUGUCCUAAAAGAUUGAUGAUUUGAUGUUCGGUAAGUCCGUCUAAGUUCCAUUCAACUUCGGAAGUACCGUCAUAUGACCUCUGAGAGGGUAACUUUUCUUCGAAAAGUUGAUUUGGGAAUGAAGGUCGAGGAUAAAAUUUUAGAAUAUUUUGAUAAUCGGAAUUUCGAAGUUUAUUGAUAUGAUUUGAUUUUUCAUCAAAAAAUUAAGAUUCAAUUUCAUCAAUAUCGAUUGUAUUGAUAUUCUUUGAAACAUGAAAAUUUUUUAAUUGAUUGACAAGUUCUGAAAGAACUUCAUUUUCAGUUGAAAGAGAUUGAGAAGAAUUUCCAAAAGUAGGAAUGAUAUCGUCAUUUUUGAAAAUGGGUGAAGAUGAUGAUGGUUUUGCGGAAUUCUUAUCUUUACUUUUACUGUCUCGAUAUUCUGUAAAAGAAUUCUUUUGAACAGUAGAAGUUUCAGAUUCAGAAUUUGAUUUGAUACGAUUAAGCUGAGAACAGACAGAUUGAAGAACAAUGUUUGUAAAAUUGUUCUGAGCUUGAAUAUUUUUGAUAUCCUUUGCAACAACCUGAGAUUCAUCAAGUCGUUCUUUAGGAUUUGCAAUUCGUUUACGUGGAGAAGCGAGAAUUUCUGUUUUACCAUGGGUAAAUGAAAUAUCUUGUAGAGGAGGAUGAAUUGAUUGGAAAGUAUUUCCAUCAGGAGUUUUCCAAGAUUUUGAAGAACCUUUUGUAGUAAAAAUUUGAGGUUUUUCUGGUUGUUUACCAAAGACUUUGAUUUGAAUCCAAUCAUAAAAACUUAAUUCUAUAGAGGAUUCAAAAUAAUCUUCCCAAAAUUGUUCUUUUUCUUUUGAAGAGAAUUGAUGUCUAAAAAUUUUUCGAAAUUUUUUAACAUGAAUGUCUUGAUCAUAUUUAAACUCUUUUCUUCUAUCAAUUUUAGAAGAAAUUACAUUACAUUGAUGAUCAAGAUCAGAGUUUGAAGGAGGAACCAUAUCAGAAAAAGUAGGGGAUUUUGGUCGAUCGGAAUCUUUUUCUUUUUCUUUAGGAUGAUAAAAAGGAUUUGGAAUGGUUGGAGUGAAAUCAACUCCUUUGAAAGAUGUUGAUGUAGAAUUUCUUGGAGAUUGGAAAGAAUUCUUAGUUCUUUCUUCAGAUCUAGUAGAUCUAGAAGAAUGAGAUCUUUGAAUUCUAGAUGAUGAUCCUUGAAAGAUGACUUUAGUUUUUCCAUCAGAGAAAGUUAAAAUCUCAUUUGGAGUAGAAUUUGUUUGAGCUGGAAUAGGAGCUUGAAUAUUUUCAAAGUUCCAUUCUAAACCUCAGAACUGAAGAUUCCAGGGAAUUCUUUUUGGAAUUUCAACACUUGAAUGAAAAGGAUUUACUUCAACCAAAAGACUUUCAUCUUUAGGAGAAGAUCUGAGAGCACCAAUAUUGAGUUGAGUAUUCAUAAGCUUAUAAUAUAUCCUGUAUAUUACAGCAAAAGCAUUUGAUCGACUAUCAAACUCAAGGUUUUUAGUCUGAAUAUGAAGAUUUAGAGCAUUAAGAACUACUCCAUCAGAGAGUUUUAUUGAGAAAUUUGGAUAACAAUUUGAGAAAAUUGGACCACUUUCGAGAUUUGAUUCGAGGAGUGAAAGUAGAGAGUUUUUGAAGUUGAGAUGUCUCUUAUCCCUAAGAGUAAUAAGGAUUGGAAUGUCAAGACCAAGUCUAAACAAUGGUUUGACAGCGAUUUGAACCAAACCAACAUGGAGGUAUUUAAAUCUCUUUUUAUAUUCUUUUGAAAAUAAAUUGAUAUAUGCAUUUGAACUGUUAAUUGAAAUAGUUUGUUCAAAAGUUUUGAUAACAUAAUUUUGAGUAAAAUCAAAUUUUCCUAUUUCGUAGAUAGAAUGUUUAUCUAUCUUUGGAAUAGUCCAAUUUUGAAGUUGUUGUUCGAUUUUUGCAAUUUGAAAUUCAUUUGAAGUAAAAUCAUUUGAUGCAGAUGCAGAUGAGUUAUCAACUUCUUCUUCAUUUUGAAAGACAUUUGAUCUAUUUUCAUUUUGAUUUUGUGAUCUAUUUCUAGACCUAGAUCUCCUAAGCCAAUUUGAAACCGAAGACAUAAUUGAAAAAAUGAAAUCAAAAUAAUUUCACACAAUAAAAACAGUAAAAUAGGAUAAACUAGGUUCUUACCAAGCCUACAAACGGGACCACCAACACGGCUGACCAACGUCUACAGGGCUGACCAACGUCUAUUCAGCAGACAUCUAGGUUUAAACCAAACUUAUCUAUUUUGAACAGUGCCUAUCGUGUAAGAUUAAACUAAUCUCACUUGUUCACUUAUGGCUCUGAUUCCAUAAAAGACCCAGGGAAACAGGAGAUGAAAUAGAAGAACAGAAAUUUGUGAAAAUAGAGAAUUUUAUUGAAAUUGAAGAAGAUAAGAGUAUUACGAUGAAAAUUGAAAAAUAUUUGAGAGAAGCAAAUUACAAGGAAAAUAAAACUUCUUCCUGCUGAAUUAACUCUGCCUUGAAAAUGAAAUCUUGAGGUCUUCUUAUAGUCUGGACUUGAAAUUUCUUUCAUUUGAGAGAAAGAAUCUUGAAAAGAGAGGUGGACGACACCAUAAUGAAACAUCUUGAAAAGCAGUAUCAACUUUAGUCAAAAGUUUCCAAUUUUUGACUUCCUUUAAUAAAGAUAAUCUUUUUCUUUAUUAAAGUAAGAGUUGAUGUCUGACACAAAGUUGAUGGGAAUCUUGACAAUCAAAACACCACCGUUUUUGAAUUGGACAGAGAUUGAGUAAGAUUUCCCUUGAUUUGUAGACCCUUGAAUUUCUCAGUUCGUCAAGGAGACUGGGUCCAUUUAGUCAUUUUAUAGUUUUCUUUGAAGCUUUUGCAGCUUUCUCUUGAGCAAGGUACUCAGCAUAGUCAUCACCUAAAUCAACUAAGUCAUUACCAUUAUCAGUCUCUUGCGAAAAUUGAGAUUCUUCGUCUUGAUCUUCUUCAGAAACUUUUGAAGAUCCUUGCUUAGAAAUUUGUUCGUAAAUUUCUAGUAAUUCUUUAGGAUCUUUACACUUUGAUAGCAUUGAAAUGAUUUUUUGUUUUUCUGUCAAAAAAUCAGCUUGUUCAUCUUGUUCCUUUUUUGAGAAUUUAGGUACAUCUAAAUUUUUUUGUUCUUGAAUUCAUGAUUGAACUGCUUUUGGACAGCAGUUUGUUUCUUUGAACUUUGCCCACCAUUUGAUUUUGAACCUUCUUAUAAUUUGUUGACAAGAGUAGUCAUCCUUGAAAUUUUGAUAUUGAAAGAAAUCCCAACAAAAGAUCCAGGAUACUUUCAAAUUGAAGGCGAACUGAAACAAAAGGUUUUUUUGAAGCUUCAGAAAAGGUUUUGCUUCUUUUUUAAAGUAUUCAUAUCCUUGAAGAGCAAGACUGGGUAAAAUUGCCUCUUCAAGUCCAUGAUAUUGAAACCAUGUUUGAAACCAACUCGGGAAAUUAGGGUUACAAUUUUGAUUAAAAAUAAUGAACCAAGAAUGGGUAACAGGUCUAAAAAGAAGGACCUUAUACCAAGCAUUCUGAUAAUCAAAGUAAUUGAAAGUUUCUUGACAAGUAAAAUCAGUUUUUGAGAGACGAAGUUUCUUUUCUUCCUAAGGAUCCUGUCCCAGUUUUCUUAAGACAGAACUCUUGUAAUUGAGAUUUUUGAAAACAUAAUUUUUGAUUUGUCUCUUGGUUCAGGAGUAUGAGAAAUUAUUGCAGAACCAGUCAAAAGAAGAAUGGUUUCAUAAUAAUCUCUGGUUUUUUUGGAUAUUUGAGGGCAUGAACCAAAAGUUUUGAGGGAGGAUACUAUCAAUGCAAUCAUCAAGACCUUGAUAUCUAUUGAGCCAAGAAUUUUCCAUUGUAAGAACAGUAUCUUGAAUAUUCUUGGUAAAAUAUUUGAAAGAAUUUGGAGGGUUAAUUUGAGGAAGUUUGCCAGAACUUUGAACGGNNNNNNNNNNNNNNNNNNNNNNNNNNNNNNNNNNNNNNNNNNNNNNNNNNNNNNNNNNNNNNNNNNNNNNNNNNNNNNNNNNNNNNNNNNNNNNNNNNNNNNNNNNNNNNNNNNNNNNNNNNNNNNNNNNNNNNNNNNNNNNNNNNNNNNNNNNNNNNNNNNNNNNNNNNNNNNNNNNNNNNNNNNNNNNNNNNNNNNNNNNNNNNNNNNNNNNNNNNNNNNNNNNNNNNNNNNNNNNNNNNNNNNNNNNNNNNNNNNNNNNNNNNNNNNNNNNNNNNNNNNNNNNNNNNNNNNNNNNNNNNNNNNNNNNNNNNNNNNNNNNNNNNNNNNNNNNNNAAAAAAAAAGAACAAUAACUAAAUAGCAUAAAAACAAACCCAGAUUGCUGAAAAUUUUGCAUCAAUGCCUUAAUGGAAUAACUAGAUGGUCAAUCUAACUAAAUUAAAUGAAAAGCCCGAUAUGAAUUUGUACAUAGAUCUAACACUUUAUAAAAUAAGACUCAAGUAGGUUAUAAUAAGGUAAUGCACGAGAUCGACGUGAGUGAUGCCUCAAGACUAAACUGAUUCCCAUAGUUCUUCAGCUUGACUUCUCGAAGUUUUAUUGAUUGCGUGAUCCUUAUUAACUAACUCAGGCAAGCCCAAUUAUUUGUGUAUUUGCAAUAUAGUUUUCGUUAAUAAUUUUGUUAUUACUCAUUCACAUGACAAAAAAUAAGCACUUUCGAAAAAGCAACAGUAGUUGGUUGACUCUGGCCUCCAAUUGUCUAGGAUCACGAGGUACAGAGUGAUCAUGGGCAGUGGCCUAACUGUAAAGGAGGAGGGCUUGUAUAGAGGGGUUAAGUUGCAACUAUAAAGCAAUUCUUUAGCUUUUUGUAUUCAAAUAUUGUCAAAUCAAUGGAAUUAUGGAAAGAUUCACACCCUUUAUUUAACAAGACAAAAUUGAUAAUUGAAUUUUCACUUUUCAAACUCAAUUUAUUAUCCUUAGCUAAGUGAAGUGCUGAGGCAAGAACAGUACUUGUCAGUCAAUUUUUGCAUAUAAUUUCCCUGAUUAAACAUUGCUUUAUGAAGAGUUUUGGUUAUAGUAUCUUUAUAAGUAAAAACUAACAGCAGGAUACGGGCUGAAUGGGAAUUAAGUCAAUUUCUUUAUUGCAGAGUUUUGAUUAAUAAAGCAGUAAGUAUGGCUUGGUAAAAACAUCUACAAGUUGAUUAGCUAAAGAAACAUAUUUGGUUACAACCGAACCAUCUUGUAUUUUGUCACGAAUAAAAUGGCAAUCAAUCUCUAUAUGUCUGGUUCUUUCAUGAAAAAGGGGAUUGGCCACUAUGUGCAAGGCUGCCUUAUUAUCGCAAUAUAAUAAUGCUGGCUUCUAAUGUAAUAUUCGCAAGUCUUUCAGCAAUGAACGUAGCCAGGAUAAUUCACAACGCGCACCUGUCAUGGCUCUAUAUUCGGCUUCAGCUAAGGACAGAGAUAUAGUUUUCUGUCUUUUUGUUCGCCAGGAAAUAAGAGAAGAUCCCAAAAAUAUACAAUAACUUGUGGUGGAUUUACAAGAAGUUGGGCAACCUGCCUAAUUCGAAUCACAGAAGGAUCGCAAAGAUAAGUCAUUUUGAGAAGAAAAGAACAAACCUUGUCCUAGAUUAUUCUUCAAAUAACGCAACACACGCAUUGCAGCUUCCAUAUAUGGUUUGCAUGGUGCAUGCAUAAAUUUACUCUGUACAUGAACUAAAUAAGUGAUAUCCGAGCGGGUAAUUGUCAAGUAAAUUAGGCGUCCAACAAUUCGCCUAUAUUGAGAAGGAUCUCUAAGCAAAUCACCUUCGUCCGAGAGCUUAACAUUCUGCUCCAUUGGAAAGUUCACACGUUUAGCUCCCAAAAAUCCACCAUCUUUUAGAAUUUCCGAAGUGUAUUUUCU